rnacentral:rRNA from 1 species
GAAAAACGCGCCCUUUAAAAAUAACACGUGCGAGUAGAGCGGAGGGGCCGUUCUUGGGGCACGAGCGAGAGACGACCGAAGUGAAAUCGCGCGAGGAGCCCGGCCCUGACUGAGGAACCACGCAAAGAGGUGCUGAUAACAGAUAUGACCACCCAUCUGAUGGAUGGGGGGGGGAGGAAAAAUUCGGUGGAGGUGGAUGCGCCUCCCUACUUAUCAUGCUUGUUGGAGGGGGGCUGGCUUACCAAGACUACGACUGGUAGACCUGAGAGAGAGACGAGCCGGCCUGGUGCGAAUGACAUGCCCACACCACUCCUAUAGGAGGCAGCGGUGAGGAAUAUUCUAUGGUGGGAGGAAGGAUGCUGCAACGCCGCCUCGUGAAGGACGACCUUCUUCGUGUAGAACACCGCUAUCUCGGGUGACGAGCCGUGAAUGACAGUUGUGGGAAAAGAAGCGCCGGCUGACUGGGUGCCAGCCGCCGCUAUUAUACGUAAGGUGCGAGCGUUGUCGAGAUUUAGUGGGCGUAAGAGUUGUAGGCGGUUUGUCGCGUCGUUUGUGAAAACCAGCAGCUCAACUGCUGGCUUGCAGGCGAUACGGGCAGACUUGAGUACUGCAGGGGAGACUGGAAUUCCUGGUGUAGCGGUGAAAUGCGCAGAUAUCAGGAGGAACACCGGUGGCGAAGGCGGGUCUCUGGGCAGUAACUGACGCUGAGGAACGAAAGCGUGGGUAGCGAACAGGAUUAGAUACCCUGGUAGUCCACGCCGUAAACGGUGGGCGCUAGGUGUGGGUUCCUUCCACGGAAUCCGUGCCGUAGCUAACGCAUUAAGCGCCCCGCCCGGGGAGUACGGCCGCAAGGCUAAAACUCAAAGGAAUUGACGGGGGCCCGCACAAGCGGCGGAGCAUGUGGAUUAAUUCGAUGCAACGCGAAGAACCUUACCUGGGUUUGACAUAUACCGGAAAGCUGCAGAGAUGUGGCCCCCCUUGUGGUCGGUAUACAGGUGGUGCAUGGCUGUCGUCAGCUCGUGUCGUGAGAUGUUGGGUUAAGUCCCGCAACGAGCGCAACCCCUAUCUUAUGUUGCCAGCACGUUAUGGUGGGGACUCGUAAGAGACUGCCGGGGUCAACUCGGAGGAAGGUGGGGACGACGUCAAGUCAUCAUGCCCCUUAUGUCCAGGGCUUCACACAUGCUACAAUGGCCAGUACAGAGGGCUGCGAGACCGUGAGGUGGAGCGAAUCCCUUAAAGCUGGUCUCAGUUCGGAUCGGGGUCUGCAACUCGACCCCGUGAAGUCCGAGUCGCUAGUAAUCGCAGAUCAACAACGCUGCGGUGAAUACGUUCCCGGGCU